GCGGGUGUAGUUUAGUGGUAAAAUGCUUCCUUGCCAAGGAAGAGACCGGCGGUUCGAGUCCGCUCACCCGCUCCA
rnacentral:tRNA from 2 species